GAUGAACGCUGGCGGCGUGCCUAAUACAUGCAAGUCGAGCGAACAGACGAGGAGCUUGCUCCUCUGACGUUAGCGGCGGACGGGUGAGUAACACGUGGAUAACCUACCUAUAAUACUGGGAUAACUUCGGGAAACCGGAGCUAAUACCGGAUAAUAUAUUGAACCGCAUGGUUGAAUAGUGAAAGACGGCUUUGCUGUCACUUAUAGAUGGAUCCGCGCCGCAUUAGCUAGUUGUUAAGGUAACGGCUUACCAAGGCAACGAUGCGUAGCCGAAGUGAGAGAGUGAUCGGCCACACGGGAGCGGGAACACGGUCCAGGCUACUACGGGAGGCAGCAGAAGGGAAUCUGACGCAGUGGGCGAGAGCAUGACGGAGCAGCGCCGCGUGAGUGAUGAAGAUCUUCGGAGCGUAAAAAUCUGUUAUUAGGGAAAAACAAAUGUGUAAGUAACUAUGCACGUAUUGACGGUACCUAAUAAGAAAGCCACGGCUAACUACGUG
rnacentral:rRNA from 1 species